rnacentral:rRNA from 1 species
GACGAACGCUGGCGGCGUGCUUAACACAUGCAAGUCGAGCGGUAAGGCCCUUUCGGGGGUACACGAGCGGCGAACGGGUGAGUAACACGUGGGUGACCUGCCCUCAGCUCUGGGAUAAGCCUGGGAAACUGGGUCUAAUACUGGAUAUGACUCCACGGUGCAUGUCGUGGGGUGGAAAGCCUUGUGCGGCUGAGGAUGGGCCCGCGGCCUAUCAGCUUGUUGGUGGGGUGANGGCCUACCAAGGCGACGACGGGUAGCCGGCCUGAGAGGGCGACCGGCCACACUGGGACUGAGACACGGCCCAGACUCCUACGGGAGGCAGCAGUGGGGAAUCUUGCGCAAUGGGACGAAAGCCUGACGCAGCGACGCCGCGUGAGGGAUGACGGCCUGG